GCGCCGGUGGUGUAAGGCGAACAUCGCUGCCCGGAAAGGAGAAGAUGCGGGUUCGAGUCCCGCCUUGCGCA
rfam:Heligmosomoides polygyrus genome assembly, scaffold: HPBE_scaffold0000159